CCUACGGGUGGCAGCAGUGAGGAAUAUUGGUCAAUGGACGCAAGUCUGAACCAGCCAUGCCGCGUGCAGGAAGACGGCUCUAUGAGUUGUAACUGCUUUUGUACGAGGGUAAACGCAGAUACGCGUAUCCGUCUGAAAGUAUCCUACGAAUAAGGAUCGGCUAACUCCGUGCCAGCAGCCGCGGUAAUACGGAGGAUUCAAGCGUUAUCCGGGUUUAUUGGGUUUAAAGGGUGCGUAGGCGGUCGGAUAAGUUAGAUGUGAAAUACCAAGGCUCAACUUCGGAAUUGCCUCUGAUACUGUUCGGCUAGAGAGUAGUUGCGGUAGGCGGAAUGUAUGGUGUAGCGGUGAAAUGCUUAGAGAUCAUACAGAACACCGAUUGCGAAGGCAGCUUACCAAGCUACUUCUGACGUUGAGGCACGAAAGCGUGGGGAGCAAACAGGAUUAGAUACCCCUGUAGUC
rnacentral:rRNA from 1 species